UACAGAGGGUGCAAGCGUUAAUCGGAAUUACUGGGCGUAAAGCGUGCGUAGACGGUCAUGUAAGUCUGGUGUGAAAGCCCCGGGCUCAACCUGGGAAUUGCAUUCGAGACUGCAUGGCUAGGGUGCGGAAGAGGGAAGCGGAAUUUCCGGUGUAGCGGUGAAAUGCGUAGAUAUCGGAAGGGACACCAGUGGCGAAAGCGGCUUCCUGGGACAGCACCGACGUUCAAGCACGAAAGCGUGGGGAGCAAACAGG
rnacentral:rRNA from 1 species